CUAGCGGCAGGCUUAACACAUGCAAGUCGAGGGGCAGCGUGGAGCAGCAAUGCUCUGACGGCGACCGGCGGAAGGGUGCGUAACACGUGAGCGACUUGCCCGUCACAGGGGGAUAACCGGCGGAAACGGCGACUAAUACCCCAUAUGAUGUGAUGCUGCAUGGCAUUGCAUUGAAAGAUUCAUCGGUGGCGGAUAGGCUCGCGGGACAUUAGCUAGACGGCGGGGCAACGGCCCACCGUGGCGACGAUGUCUAGGGGUUCUGAGAGGAAGACCCCCCACACUGGGACUGAGACACGGCCCAGACUCCUACGGGAGGCAGCAGUGAGGAAUAUUGGUCAAUGGGCGGAAGCCUGAACCAGCCAUGCCGCGUGAAGGACUAAGGCCCUACGGGUCGUAAACUUCUUUAGACGCAGAGCAAUAAGGUCCACGAGUGGACCGAUGAGAGUAUGCGUAGAAUAAGCAUCGGCUAACUCCGUGCCAGCAGCCGCGGUAAUACGGGGGAUGCAAGCGUUAUCCGGAUUCAUUGGGUUUAAAGGGUGCGUAGGCGGCCGAGUAAGUCAGCGGUGAAAGACCGGGGCUCAACCCUGGAAGUGCCGUUGAUACUGUUUGGCUGGAAUGAUCCCGCCGCGGGAGGAAUGAGUGGUGUAGCGGUGAAAUGCAUAGAUAUCACUCAGAACACCGAUUGCGAAGGCAUCUCGCGAGGGGUCAAUUGACGCUGAGGCACGAAAGCGUGGGGAUCGAACAGGAUUAGAUACCCUGGUAGUCCACGCAGUAAACGAUGAUGGCUAACUGUCGGGCCUGCGGGUUCGGCGGCCAAGCGAAAGCGAUAAGCCAUCCACCUGGGGAGUACGACCGCAAGGUUGAAACUCAAAGGAAUUGACGGGGGCCCGCACAAGCGGAGGAACAUGUGGUUUAAUUCGAUGAUACGCGAGGAACCUUACCCAGGCUCGAACGGCAGCUGAAUUGAGUAGAGAUAUUCAAGUCUUCGGACAGUUGUCGAGGUGCUGCAUGGUUGUCGUCAGCUCGUGCCGUGAGGUGUCGGCUUAAGUGCCAUAACGAGCGCAACCCUUGCCUUCAGUUGCCAUCAGGUAGAGCUGGGCACUCUGGAGGGACUGCCACCGCAAGG
rnacentral:rRNA from 1 species